AGAGUUACCUCCUCAAGGGGUGGCAAGGGGCUUGACUCCAGGAUUUCUUCCUCUUCACCUGGGGUGGGGUCCUGACCCCAAGGAGAGAAAGAGAAGAGUAGCACAGGGCUGCUUGGACCCCUGGGACAACGGCAAGCUCCUGGACAUCACCCUGCAAAGACAUGAGAGAGAUGGAGCAGAGAAAUACUCAGAGAGAGGCAGAGGGUAUCAUCCAGGAGAAAGGCCACAGCCACACGGUGCCACCUGAUCAUGGGGGGAGAGGUUCAACUGAACUCUUGACUGACUGAAGCAGGGGAGUCAACACGAUUGGAGAGCGGUGAUGAGAGCUGAAGCCAAUGGUGAUAAGAAGAGUAAUCACAACUUAUUGAGUGUUUACAGUGCGCCAGGCACUGUGCCAUCAAUUUCUCAUUUGAUUGUGCUGAUUCUACUUAAUGUCCAUUUUACAAAUGUAGAAACUGACACUCAAAAAAUUUAAGUAACUUGCCCAAGGUACAGGCUGGUUCAACAUGCAGAGAAGGGUGCAUACUCUAAAGCCCAAACUCUGGGCUGGAAGUGACUGAAACUUGGGCAGUGGGUAGGUGUGGUGUGGCCAAAAGGGUCUGAAAGGUUUCACACUUUAGAGCAUAGAGGUUCAGAGGCACUUCCUCCUGAAAGAGAGGGCCGGGCAGACCAGAGGAGCAAACAAACUUACUUGCC